rnacentral:rRNA from 1 species
GAUGAACGCUGGCGGCGUGCCUAAUACAUGCAAGUCGAGCGAACAGACGAGGAGCUUGCUCCUCUGACGUUAGCGGCGGACGGGUGAGUAACACGUGGAUAACCUACCUAUAGACUGGGAUAACUUCGGGAAACCGGAGCUAAUACCGGAUAAUAUAUUGAACCGCAUGGUUCAAUAGUGAAAGACGGUUUUGCUGUCACUUAUAGAUGGAUCCGCGCCGCAUUAGCUAGUUGGUAAGGUAACGGCUUACCAAGGCAACGAUGCGUAGCCGACCUGAGAGGGUGAUCGGCCACACUGGAACUGAGACACGGUCCAGACUCCUACGGGAGGCAGCAGUAGGGAAUCUUCCGCAAUGGGCGAGAGCCUGACGGAGCAACGCCGCGUGAGUGAUGAAGGUCUUCGGAUCGUAAAACUCUGUUAUUAGGGAAGAACAAAUGUGUAAGUAACUAUGCACGUCUUGACGGUACCUAAUCAGAAAGCCACGGCUAACUACGUG